UCUGUCUUGUGAAAUUGAAGAUAGGAUGCAUCAUAUAAUUUAUCCAGUUUUUCUACAGAUAUAUGGAUAUAUAUGGACUCUAUAUGGGAAUUUGGUUACCUACUUUUGAGUGGUGUGUUCUUCACCAUUUAGAUGGAUUCAGACUAUCGGCUUCAUCUUUCCCUGGGAAACAGAAGAUCAAAACACUCUCAUAAUGAAAGGCAAUUGAAACAUAUCUGUGGGAAUAUAAAGGAUAUGCUUUUGGUGAGCAAACUUUAGAUGAGCUCCUUUUUUUUUUUUUUUAAUUUUUUUAUUUUAUUUAUUUUUUUUAAAAUCUUACUCUUCAAACAUAUACAUUUGAUUUGAUUUUGAUCCUAAUUGUGUAUUUUCUCAACAUGUCCUUCUCUGUAGUU
rnacentral:lncRNA from 1 species